UACAGAGGUGGCAAGCGUUGUUCGGAAUUACUGGGCGUAAAGGGCGCGUAGGCGGUCCCGUAAGUUCCGCGUGAAAUCCCCCGGCUCAACCGGGGAAUGGCGCGGAAAACUGCGGGGCUUGAGUUCGGGAGAGGGAAGCGGAAUUCCGGGUGUAGCGGUGAAAUGCGUAGAUAUCCGGAGGAACACCGGUGGCGAAGGCGGCUUCCUGGACCGACACUGACGCUGAGGCGCGAAAGCUAGGGGAGCGAACGGG
rnacentral:rRNA from 1 species